UCAACGCCGGCAGGAGCGCGGGGCGCAGGGCCAGGGCCCGCCUCCAGGGGGCGGUGUGCGUCCUUGGCGCCGGAGCACCUGCGUUUCGGGACCCGGGCAGGUGUAGGGGUCUGCGCUCGGCUCCAGGCCUCCUGCGGGUGCAAUAAGAAUAUUACUAAUGUGUCCUCUGGAAUGGUGACGUGAACACGGUUCCCUGCAGAUGUAACUGGGAGAGAAGGCAGAGUCCUGCCACAGGGUAAGACUGUGGAGAUGUAUUCUAGCUGGCCCUACCAGUUGGGAUCUCACUUUGCUGCCUAGCUUGG